GAUGAACGCUGGCGGCGUGCCUAAUACAUGCAAGUCGAGCGAACAGACGAGGAGCUUGCUCCUCUGACGUUAGCGGCGGACGGGUGAGUAACACGUGGAUAACCUACCUAUAAGACUGGGAUAACUUCGGGAAACCGGAGCUAAUACCGGAUAAUAUAUUGAACCGCAUGGUUCAAUAGUGAAAGACGGUUUUGCUGUCACUUAUAGAUGGAUCCGCGCCGCAUUAGCUAGUUGGUAAGGUAACGGCUUACCAAGGCGACGAUGCGUAGCCGACCUGAGAGGGUGAUCGGCCACACUGGAACUGAGACACGGUCCAGACUCCUACGGGAGGCAGCAGUAGGGAAUCUUCAGCAAUGGGCGAAAGCCUGACGGAGCAACGCCGCGUGAGUGAUGAAGGUCUUCGGAUCGUAAAACUCUGUUAUUAGGGAAGAACAAAUGUGUAAGUAACUAUGCACGUCUUGACGGUACCUAAUCAGAAAGCCACGGCUAACUACGUG
rnacentral:rRNA from 1 species